rnacentral:rRNA from 1 species
ACCCUAUUAUAAAAAAAGUAAAUAGUUUAUUAGGGUAGUAUUAGUUAUAUUCUUGAAAUUUAAAAAAUUUGGCGGUAUUUUAGUCUUUUCAGAGGAACCUGUCCAAUAAUCGAUAAUCCACGAUUAAAUAUACUUGAUUUACAAAUUUACAUAUCGUCGUAGUUUGAAUAUCUUAUUAGGGUUAUAAUAUUCAAAAUUUAUUAUUUAUAAAAAAAAUCAGAUCAAGGUGUAGUUUAUAAUUAAGAGGAGAUGGGUUACAAUAAAUUUAUUUAAAUGGUUAUAAUAAUUAGAAUUAUUAUUUAAAUUGGAUUUGAAAGUAAUAUAUUUAAUUUAAUUUAUAUGAUUAAAGCUCUAAAAUAUG